GACGAACGCUGGCGGCGUGCUUAACACAUGCAAGUCGAACGAUGAAGCCGGAGCUUGCUCUGGUGAAUUAGUGGCGAACGGGUGAGUAACACGUGAGUAACCUGCCCUUGACUCUGGGAUAACUGCGGGAAACUGUAGCUAAUACCGGAUACGAGACUCGGAGGCAUCUCUGAGUCUGGAAAGAAUUUCGGUCAAGGAUGAGCUCGCGGCCUAUCAGCUAGUUGGUGAGGUAAUGGCUCACCAAGGCGACGACGGGUAGCCGGCCUGAGAGGGUGACCGGCCACACUGGGACUGAGACACGGCCCAGAGUCCUACGGGAGGCAGCAGUGGGGAAUAUUGCACAAUGGGCGCAAGCCUGAUGCAGCGGCGCCGCGUGAGGGAUGACGGCCUUCGGGUUGUAAACCUCUUUCAGCACCGACGAAGCGCAAGUGACGGUAGGUGCAGAAGAAGGACCGGCCAACUACGUGCCAGCCGCCGCCGUAA
rnacentral:rRNA from 1 species